rnacentral:rRNA from 1 species
UGCCAGCCGCCGCGGUAAUACUGAAGGUGCAAGCGUUAAUCGGAAUUACUGGGCGUAAAGCGUACGUAGGCGGAUUAAUAAGUUAGAGGUGAAAUCCCAGGGCUCAACCCUGGAACUGCCUUUAAAACUGUUAGUCUUGAGAUCGAGAGAGGUGAGUGGAAUUCCAAGUGUAGAGGUGAAAUUCGUAGAUAUUUGGAGGAACACCAGUGGCGAAGGCGGCUCACUGGCCCGAUACUGACGCUGAGGUACGAAAGUGUGGGGAGCAAACAGGAUUAGAUA